AGUGAACGCUGGCGGUAGGCCUAACACAUGCAAGUCGAACGGCAGCACAGUAAGAGCUUGCUCUUACGGGUGGCGAGUGGCGGACGGGUGAGGAAUACAUCGAAAUCUACUUUUUCGUGGGGGAUAACGUAGGGAAACUUACGCUAAUACCGCAUACGACCUACGGGUGAAAGUAGGGGAUCUUCGGACCUUGCGCGAUUGAAUGAGCCGAUGUCGGAUUAGCUAGUUGGCGGGGUAAAGGCCCACCAAGGCGACGAUCCGUAGCUGGUCUGAGAGGAUGAGCAGCCACACUGGAACUGAGACACGGUCCAGACUCCUACGGGAGGCAGCAGUGGGGAAUAUUGGACAAUGGGCGCAAGCCUGAUCCAGCCAUACCGCGUGGGUGAAGAAGGCCUUCGGGUUGUAAAGCCUUUUUGUUGGGAAAGAAAAGCAGCAGGUUAAUACCCCGCUGUUCUGACGGUACCCAAAGAAUAAGCACCGGCUAACUUCGUG
rnacentral:rRNA from 1 species